rnacentral:rRNA from 1 species
AACGAGCGAGAUCCCUGCCACUAGUUGCUAUCAUUAUUCUCAGGAAUAGUGGGGCGAAUUAGUGGGACUGCCGUUGUUAAAACGGAGGAAGGAAGGGGNUACGGCAGGUCAGUAUGCCCCGAAANUCUGGGCCCACACGCGGGCUGCAAUGGUAGUGACAAUGAGUUCCAAACUCGAAAGAGAGUGGCAAUCUCUAAACGCUACCACAGUUAUGACUGAGGGCUGUAACUCGCCCUCACGAAUAUGGAAUCCCUAGUAACCGCGUGUCAUUACCGCGCGGUGAAUACGUCCCUGCUCCUUGCACACACCGCCCGUCGUUUCAUCGAAGUUUGCUUUUAGUGAGGUGAUGUUUAAUUGGCAUUAUCGAACUUGAGGUAAGCGACGAGGGAAAAGUCGUAACAAGGUA